AAACAUGUUAUACAAAGAGGCCUUGGAAACUAAUAAGAUAUGGACAAGGUGUAGUGUUUCAGGCAGUAUAUAGUGCAGGUAGCGUUCAGUGUUUUAAACACAUGACCACGAUGGCAUAUAUGUCUCUAGACAUGUAAUAAGGGGUGCAUUCGCAUGUGGUGUGCAUGUGUGUAGUGGUGUGCCUGCUUAUGCAUCUUCCUUUUAAUCAUAAAAAAAAGAGAGAAGUGGCAUAUAUAAAUUGGAAACAGUUGAAAUAUAAGCAAUUGAACCAUGGUAUGGAAGAACAAAUUUUCAAAACUUAGCAACCCAGGCAAACAGAUUCAAUAAAAAAUGUAAAUCCUUGAUGUUUAUCUCUGGAUAACUACAUUUAUAGAUGAUCAAAGCAGUCCAGCCUUCAACAAAUCUAAAUACUUACAAAAAACAAUGCGAUUUCGUGGAAAAAAACCAAAAAUUACUCUAUCUCUGCUACUUAAAAAAUGUUCCAGCAACCAAAGCAGGGCGUCCUGCCAUUCCACGUUGUUCAACCCCACUCCCCCCUCCAUUGCUCGCUGCUAGUUGUCCCUCUGCUCCAGUCUCCGCGCGUCUCGCCCUACCCCAAUCCCGCUCCUCGGCACAAUCCGCGCGCCACCGCAGCCUGCAUCCGCCCCUCCCCCUCUCCCCUCUCUCUCCAUUGCAAUCCCUCUCGCAACAUCCCCAAGCCCGCAACCCCCGCCGUCACUCCCUCGAACUCGACUGCAGCGAUGCCGUCCUCCCCGAUCUGUGCUUGUCCAUCUCGUCUCCCACCUCAGCCACGUGCUUCUCUAUCAUCAUAGAUGGCGGCAACGGUGGGCACCAGGGCCCACGUCUUCGCUGCAGGGCCCAACGUCCGUCGGGAUCUGGUGUGCUCCUCUAUGACGCUCGUCUCCCCGAGCAUCGACGUGGACUUCAAGUGGAGUGACCACAUCGCCGCCGGAUAAAUCAAGAACCAGGAUUGCUGCCGGUUGUUCAGUGCAUUAGGGGCGCACGUACUACCUGGCUACGCGGCAAGGUGGAUCCGGCGAGGCGUACAGCUAUGCGUUGCGGCGCCGCCGCUCGCCUUUUUUGAUCGGUUUUUUUAAUACAAUUCCCAUAUACUAUCUCAGUACCAGCCCAUAAACGCCUAAAUAAUGGAACUUGGGAUAAGAUAAAGUAUUACCAACAAUGGUGGCCUUGUAGUCGACCAGAUACUCAUGUUGACAAGCUUAUGAAGUACGGUUGCAGGCUAAACUUUGUGCAAAUGUGGUGUCUCAUCUGCUCAACUGUUUUUGGGAGAAGAACGAGUGUCACAUGGAAAAUCUAUCCGAAUUGGGAAUUUCUGUGCUAAAACUUUCUUUCUCGUAGUGCAACCUUCAAGUUUGACUCUCGUAAUCUCUUAUGUACAUAAAACGUAGAUGAAGAAGAAAUGGGAAUUUCA